rnacentral:lncRNA from 1 species
AUUGUAAUUAGAGUAUAUGAGGAUAAAAUGACACAGUAUCAAUUGAUAUUAAAUCUCUGAGAAUCACAAUUUAUGUAAAUAUCUACGCUUCAAUCACAUUUUUGACUACAUGUGGUAGCAUUCAUGUUGAACUGUACAUAUGUAGAGAAUUGGUUUUCCAUAAAAUGACCAGAUUUUGCACUUAAUUCAGUUUGAAUUCUUCAAAGUACUGCAAACAUUAUACCCCCCCCCCAAAAAAAAAAACCUGCCCCCCUAAAAAAAAAAUUUUGUGAUCAAGUAAGAUUGAUCUAUUAAGAACUUCAACUUGCUUGUAUAUUACAUUUGUAUAUGUGCAAAAAAAGGGCCCAUGGGAGCUAUAACCAUCUUUUCCCAGUCAUUUUCUGAGGAGAAUUCGGAAAAUUACUGCUGACAUUAAUGCACCCCCACCCUCAAUCUACCAACCAAAAAAAAGAUAAUAAAAAUACAAAAAUCUUCUCCUGAAACAACUUGGCAAAUUGCACCAACAGAAC